rnacentral:sRNA from 1 species
UGCCUCUCUGGAGUUUGGUGGGGAGCCU